rnacentral:rRNA from 1 species
AGAAUCAACGCAGGCGGCGUGCCUAACACAUGCAAGUCGAACGCGAAAGGGGCUUCGGCCCUGAGUAGAGUGGCAAACGGGUGAGUAACACGUGGGUGACCUGCCUCAGAGUGGGGGAUAACGUCCCGAAAGGGACGCUAAUACCGCAUAACAUCCUGCCUUUGGAAAGGCGGAGAUCAAAGCCGGGGAUCGCAAGACCUGGCGCUUGGAGAGGGGCCCGCGUCUGAUUAGCUAGUUGGUGGGUAAUGGCCUACCAAGGCAACGAUC